UUAUUCCUUGCUUCCAGUUGUGUGUUAAGUCUUGUUACUUGGUUGUUUUUUCUAUGAUUUUAUUGUUAUAUUUUCUCGUACGUGAACAAUUAACUAUCAAAAAGCCCAUAGUUUUACCUUUCUUUGUUUUGGUUUCAAGAAAACAAAAUGACAAUUGGGAGUUUCUUCUUGAAAAUGUAAAGCAUUUGCCCAAAAUUGAGGUCUAAUCUCCAGGCAUGUGAUAUGGAAGAAACAUGCUCUGUUCAAUGCUCCUCUGUUUUUAUUAUUAUUUUUUUUUAUAUAUGAGUUUUACAUUUUUUAUAUAUUAUUUUCAUCCGUUUCUUCACUUUAGAAAUCAUUUAUGUGAUUACAGAAUUGUUUGUAACUUUUUUUCAGUACUUAAUGUUGUUGAAGAUUAAUGCAGCAAAUGGAGGAACUUCUGAUACUGUUAUCCUUUCUUUUAAUGCUGUUCUGCAAAUAUUGUGAAUCAGUUGAUUGAGGCAUUUCCAUGAAAUUUUAAUUGAGCCAUGGGAUUUCAAAAAGCAUUCUGCAACUGUUGUCUUCAAUUCCAGAGUUUGGAAAUUGAUAAUGGUUCUAUCUUGUUGAAAGAAGCCAGAAAAGAGCAAUUGUGAAUUGGCCUUGCAAUUAUUAGAGAACACAAGGGAUAGCCCAAGAAUGCUCACCUCCCAGAGGUUGUAUUUGGCAUAAAAAGAAAAGAUCCUACAGUUCACUGCUUUACAGUUACAUGACAGCAAAUCUUAUCUCUUGCCUAUGGUUCUGUUUUGGAGAUUUUGAAGCCCGGAAUCCAUAAUUUUCCCCCUCUUGAACUGAUUGGCAUUUUAAGUGGCAAUAUGUUCUGUGAAUUUAUUAGCCUGCAAAGAAAUUGAAGCAUUCCCAUAUAAGCUUGUGUGAGCUUUGGAGUGUCAAAUGAGCAUUCUGCAAUGCUUGCUUCUUCAGUUUUAGACUUUGGAAAUUGAUGAUGGUUGGUUCUGUCUUUUUGAAAGAUGCCAGAGACGAGCAAUUGUGAAUUGGCCUCUCAUGUGCCACUAAGUGCUAGUUUAUUGCUAUGACUGCAUGAAAAUUAAGGGGCCAUUGCCUAUCUGGUGGACAACUGAUCACCGAACUUAUCAGCAAUCAUUUGCUAAAGGAUCUAGAAUUUCUGCUAGAGAACUUGCUGCAAAACCUCACUUCACUUCAAUGCCAUAAUAUUUGGGAUUUCCACAAGUAACAACCUUGUCUUCUGAUAUACGGCAUUGAGAAGUGGAAAAAUCGUUGGUUCUGAAAAGAGAGAGAGAGAGAGAG
rnacentral:misc_RNA from 1 species